rnacentral:rRNA from 1 species
GACGAACGCUGGCGGCGUGCUUAACACAUGCAAGUCGAACGGAAAGGCCCUGCUUUUGUGGGGUGCUCGAGUGGCGAACGGGUGAGUAACACGUGAGUAACCUGCCCUUGACUUUGGGAUAACUUCAGGAAACUGGGGCUAAUACCGGAUAGGAGCUCCUGCUGCAUGGUGGGGGUUGGAAAGUUUCGGCGGUUGGGGAUGGACUCGCGGCUUAUCAGCUUGUUGGUGGGGUAGUGGCUUACCAAGGCUUUGACGGGUAGCCGGACUGAGAGGGUGACCGGCCACAUUGGGACUGAGAUACGGCCCAGACUCCUACUGGAGGCAGCAGUGGGGAAUAUUGCACAAUGGGCGGAAGCCUGAUGCAGCAACGCCGCGUGCGGGAUGACGGCCUUCGGGUUGUAAACCGCUUUCGCCUGUGACGAAGCGUGAGUGACGGUAAUGGGUAAAGAAGCACCGGCUAACUACGUG